UACGUAGGGGGCAAGCGUUGUCCGGAUUUAUUGGGCGUAAAGAGCGUGUAGGCGGCCAUGUAGGUCCGGUGUGAAAACUCGAGGCUUAACCUCGAGAUGUCAUCGGAAACCAUUUGGCUAGAGUCCGGAAGAGGAGAGUGGAAUUCCUGGUGUAGCGGUGAAAUGCGCAGAUAUCAGGAAGAACACCGGUGGCGAAGGCGGGUCUCUGGGCCGAUACUGACGCUGAGGAGCGAAAGCGUGGGGAGCGAACAGG
rnacentral:rRNA from 1 species